CUACGGGUUGCUGCAGUGGGGAAUAUUGCACAAUGGGGGGAACCCUGAUGCAGCAACGCCGCGUGGAGGAUGACACAUUUCGGUGCGUAAACUCCUUUUAUAUAAGAAGAUAAUGACGGUAUUAUAUGAAUAAGCACCGGCUAACUCCGUGCCAGCAGCCGCGGUAAUACGGGGGGUGCAAGCGUUACUCGGAAUAACUGGGCGUAAAGAGCAUGUAGGCUGGUUAGUAAGUUGGAAGUGAAAUCCUAUGGCUUAACCAUAGAACUGCUUCCAAAACUACUAACCUAGAAUAUGGGAGAGGUAGAUGGAAUUUCUGGUGUAGGGGUAAAAUCCGUAGAGAUCAGAAGGAAUACCGAUUGCGAAGGCGAUCUACUGGAACAUUAUUGACGCUCAGAUGCGAAAGCGUGGGGAGCAAACAGGAUUAGAUACCCGCGUAGUC
rnacentral:rRNA from 1 species